rnacentral:rRNA from 1 species
GUGGGGAAUUUUGCACAAUGGGCGAAAGCCUGAUGCAGCGACGCCGCGUGAGGGAUGGAGGCCUUCGGGUUGUGAACCUCUUUCGCUCAUGGUCAAGCCGCGCGUGUGCGUGUGGUGAGGGUAGUGGGUAAAGAAGCGCCGGCUAACUACGUGCCAGCAGCCGCGGUAAUACGUAGGGCGCGAGCGUUGUCCGGAAUUAUUGGGCGUAAAGGGCUUGUAGGCGGUUGGCCGCGUCUGCCGUGAAAUCCUCUGGCUUAACUGGGGGCGUGCGGUGGGUACGGGUUGACUUGAGUGCGGUAGGGGAGACUGGAAUUCCUGGUGUAGCGGUGGAAUGCGCAGAUAUCAGGAGGAACACCGGUGGCGAAGGCGGGUCUCUGGGCCGUUACUGACGCUGAGGAGCGAAAGCGUGGGGAGCGAACAGGAUUAGAAACCCGAGUAGUCC